GAGUACGGCCGCAAGGUUAAAACUCAAAUGAAUUGACGGGGGCCCGCACAAGCGGUGGAGCAUGUGGUUUAAUUCGAUGCAACGCGAAGAACCUUACCUGGUCUUGACAUCCACAGAACUUUCCAGAGAUGGAUUGGUGCCUUCGGGAACUGUGAGACAGGUGCUGCAUGGCUGUCGUCAGCUCGUGUUGUGAAAUGUUGGGUUAAGUCCCGCAACGAGCGCAACCCUUAUCCUUUGUUGCCAGCGAUUAGGUCGGGAACUCAAAGGAGACUGCCAGUGAUAAACUGGAGGAAGGUGGGGAUGACGUCAAGUCAUCAUGGCCCUUACGACCAGGGCUACACACGUGCUACAAUGGCGCAUACAAAGAGAAGCGACCUCGCGAGAGCAAGCGGACCUCAUAAAGUGCGUCGUAGUCCGGAUUGGAGUCUGCAACUCGACUCCAUGAAGUCGGAAUCGCUAGUAAUCGUGGAUCAGAAUGCCACGGUGAAUACGUUCCCGGGCCUUGUACACACCGCCCGUCACACCAUGGGAGUGGGUUGCAAAAGAAGUAGGUAGCUUAACCUUCGGGAGGGCGCUUACCACUUUGUGAUUCAUGACUGGGGUGAAGUCGUAACAAGGUAACCGUAGGGGAACCUGCGGUUGGAUCACCUCCUUACCUUAAAGAAGC
rnacentral:rRNA from 1 species